CCGGAGCUGUUCCUAUUCGGCCAUCUUGGCUCCACUCUCCUUUAUUUUUCUUAAGCUUUAGGUUUAAACAUUCAAAAUAGUAUUGUUUUUCCUAUUGAGAAUGUCAAAUUAUAAGCUAUAAAUUCAAGGGAUAAUUUUGUAUUGUUAAUGUCAGAGAAAUGCUUUUUGAUUUUAGUUUGUUUAGUCUCAGUAUGAGUUACUUUUGGGAUACUUUAAUAUAAUAAUUCUGGCACAGAAUCUACUACAGAUUUCAGUGUUCUCUAUUUUCAUUUCACUCAAUGUAUUAAACACAGAUUAAUUGAGGCUGAAUUGCAUGUAGUCUAAGAUGCCAAAUACUUGCAUAGAAAGAAUUCAUAUUGAGAAUGAAAAGUAAUUCUGCUAAGAAAAGAACUGUUAAAACAACGAGGAGUAAUUACAUAUAUUUUUUACUUUAAAAUGCAGAAAAAAAUAUGUGCCAAAAUUCUGUAACCAUAUUUUUUCAAUUAUAAAACCAAUAUAAACAAAAAUACAUGUCUGAAUAGUAUUGUGGCUCUUUACCCGUAUGAAAGUGUUUAAACCAUCAAGUGAUAAAAUUUAGGUGAAAAGACGUUAUAAGUUAAAAUUCUGUAUAAAUUAAGAAUAGCUUUACUAGUAAAUUUUAAUAUUGUACAUAUGUUGUCAGAAGUGAUUAAGGUAAUUACAUACUCCAAUUAUUUUCCUUUUUUUGCAAAUAUAUCCACUAUGUUUUUUGAAUGAAUCUAUUUUUAUUAUAAUUAUGUCAUAUGUAAAUAGGCUAUAAUAUUUAAAUUUUCCUUUUAAUCAUUACUGCACAUAUAUAUUGAAAUUUACUGCAAUUGUAUGCAAUUCUCAUUUUUAGGCAUAGAUAAUAAAGACAAGAAUAAGGUAAAAUUUUGCCCUGAGUAUACUUACAUUUUAAUGGGGAAAAGAACAGACAUAAAUGCAUCUAAUUUCAGGUAUUGAUAAAUGUGUGAAACUAAGUGAAACAGUGUGAAGCAUGAAGUAUGAUAAUCGGAGGCAAAGAAAAGGUAUCCAAUUUCAGAUAAGAUGUUCCUGGGGAGGCUUGCUGAGAAAGUGAACUUUGAGCAGAUAUUGGAAUGAAAUAUGACGGGAAUUCAACAAAUGAAGCUGAAAGAAAUAGGAGAUGGUGAUGAAGGGUCAGAAAGGACUCAGAUCAUGUACACAAUUUGGGAUUUACUAUACUUGCGAUGGAAAGACAUUGGCAUCUUUUGAGCAUGGGAAUGGCAAGAUAUGAUUUAUAUCUUGAAACUCUCAUUUUGCAGCCUAUUGUGGUUUGUUCAAGAAGAAUUGACAGUGACUGGAAGUAGGAUGAUAGCAGCUGAAAUGGGGAAAAUAUCCGGUUUUAGGAUGCAUAUUGCUGGUAAAGUGAAGAGAACAUGCAAGUACAAAGGAAAGAGUAGAAUUGGGGUCACUCCCACCUUUAAAGGCUGAGCAAUUUGGUGAGUGUUGGCAUCAUUUGAUGAGAAGGAAAAUGCUAGAAGACCAGCAGGUGGGAAAAAUAAAUAAUUUGUUGUUAAUCAGGGUAUGUUAUGUCCGAGAUAAUUAUUAGCCUAUUAAAAUUACAGGUGCAAAUGUGGGCAGGGCUAAAAAUAUAGACUUGGAACUCUGGCAGACACAUCUUCUCUGCCUGCCAUGAUUUCAGCUGCAGCUGCUGUGGACAGCACACUGCAAGCUCAGCCACACCUGGAUUUUUAUAAAGUUUAUACAGGAACUUCUCCAAUGCCAUAGAAAGUCAUUGAGUCCAGCAUGAAAAUACAGCUGGGAAGUACAGGGUGUCUAGUGCCCCUGAGGGUAAACUUCAACCAAUGGGGUGAGGAUGUGGCUAAUGAGUGAAUGCCCUAGCUUCCUAUCCCCUCAGGUAGGUAAUUCUGAAAGCCUUCUGAGGAUAUUUCUCUGGAGGCCCAUCACAACUGAGCUCUGCUACCUGUGUUGCUUAAUUUUAUGUGUCAGCUUGGCUAGGUCACAGAACUCAGAUAUUUGGACAAACACUGGCCUAAAGUUGCUGUGAAGGUAUUUGUUAAACGAAAUUAACAUUUAGAUUGUAGCUUUGAAGUAAAGCCAUUUAUACUCCAGAACGUGGUGGGUGCUAUCUAAUAAGUUGAAUGUUUUCAGAGAAAAAAAGACAAAGGUUCCUGAUGAAAGUGGAAUUAUACCUCCAGAUUGCCUUGGAAGUUGAGCUGCAACAUCAACUUUUCCCUGAAGCUCCAGCCUGCUAGCCUACCAGCACAUGCUGCAGAUUUUGGACUUGCCAGCCCCCACAAUUAUACAAGCUGUGAGCACCCUGCCCAAGUGAUCAAGUUCACCAGUGAAUAGAGUGGUCUGUGACACAAGUUCCUCUUCUUGCCCUCCCCUGACAGUGACCUAGUAACAUCCAAAAGGACCAGUGAAAUCCCUUCAAGCCUUUUCUGAUGUACUCUAUUCUGACGUAUAAGAAAAACCCUCGCCUGACGGUUUCUUGGGGCUUUUCACUGGCUUGGUUGAACCUGCUCCUGUGGUGCUCCUCCUCUGGGGCCCCUCUCAGCAUACAGUACUCUUUCUAGAACCUGUGAGCAUAAUAAACAUUGUUUCCCUGAGUCUCUCCCGUGUCCCGUCUUGGGGACACAUCUGAUUGACCACUACCGAAAAAAAAAAAAAAAAACAUACACACACACAUAAAACAUAUAUCAUAAUCCAUAUGAAUUGAUAAAGCUUUCUUAAUGCCAUUUUUGGAAAUAUUUCUAAUUUUUGCAAAUUUUAAGUACUGAAAUGAGUAUUCAUUAAGUGUUAUAUAUAAACGGCAAAUAUAUAUAUGUAUUUAUAUGCCUGCUAAGGCUAUUUCUUAAUGUUCAGAAAAGUAAUAUAAAGUGCUUGAUUUUGGAAACUAAAAAUCGAAAAUUUAAAAAGAAAUGCAUAAUGAACUUAAUUUUCAAUUUGGGUUUGGGGUCAACAAUGUGAAUCUCCUAAUAAUUGUCAAAAUUCAAUAAUUCAUACAUUAUUUAGUAUGCCCAUUUCUCCAAAACAGCCUUAAAAUUAAUCUAUUUUGUGGGAAACAUUGUGAAAGUUACCCAAAGAGAAGAAAAUGUGUUUAUGAUGAAGUUGCUGUCAUCCAGAAACUUAUAAUCAAGUUGGUAAGAUAUGACAUAAUUUGCAAUUUAAAGCACACGUGCACACACACGCACACACACACACACACAAAUUCAAGGCUGCAUAUGUACCUAAGUAUAUCAAUUUUUUAAGUUGCUAUUUUGAUUUUUUUCAAAUAUACAGAUGUGUCUGAAUGCAGGGAUUAUAGCUGAGCACAAUAUCAGGCCACUGUAUAGAUUUGAUUACAUAGUAAUUAAAUAUCUUGAUGGGCGAUUCUCACUAUCUUAAAGAGAAAAGUACCCAGAGGGGGGAAAAAUUGAUAAAGUAUGUCAAAUUUCUUUUUUUAAAAUAUAAAUAAAAUUUAAAA
rnacentral:lncRNA from 10 species